rnacentral:rRNA from 2 species
GCAAGGUUAACCGUAUAGGGGAGCCGGAGGGAAACCGAGUCUUAACCGGGCGUUAAGUUGCAGGGUAUAGACCCGAAACCCGGUGAUCUAGCCAUGGGCAGGUUGAAGGUUGGGUAACACUAACUGGAGGACCGAACCGACUAAUGUUGAAAAAUUAGCGGAUGACCUGUGGCUGGGGGUGAAAGGCCAAUCAAACCGGGAGAUAGCUGGUUCUCCCCGAAAGCUAUUUAGGUAGCGCCUCGUGAAUUCAUCUCCGGGGGUAGAGCACUGUUUCGGCUAGGGGGCCAUCCCGGCUUACCAACCCGAUGCAAACUGCGAAUACCGGAGAAUGUUAUCACGGGAGACACACGGCGGGUGCUAACGUCCGUCGUGAAGAGGGAAACAACCCAGACCGCCAGCUAAGGUCCCAAAGUCAUGGUUAAGUGGGAAACGAUGUGGGAAGGCCCAGACAGCCAGGAUGUUGGCUUAGAAGCAGCCAUCAUUUAAAGAAAGCGUAAUAGCUCACUGGUCGAGUCGGCCUGCGCGGAAGAUGUAACGGGGCUAAACCAU